UUUGUUGCACUGGUGAGGGCAGACUAAUUCUAUGUUGUACAUGCUCCGCCCUCUAACAGGCUUUGCUAUUGGUUUACCAUACGAGGCUCUGCCUCAGCACCUGAGAAAGACCUUUGCACUCACCACCUAAUCGGAAGGUAGCUACCACGCAGCACCCUCCCCCUAUAAAGCUCCAGCGCACUUGCCGUUCGUCUCCCUUUUUCAUUCAGCCACCUUUGAGAAUGGAUCAUCUACAAACUUCAUUUCACCAUCCAUCGUCACAGAAGAAAUCAACAUGUCUGCUAGCAAGUCCUGCACCUCGUGUGCCUUGCCUAUGCCACCAGCAGAUUUGCACAAAUCUUUCCACAGUAAUGAUGAUGUUUGAUGAAGAGCUGCAGAUGUCCAGCACAACUCCACCAGGCCCAGGACCAGUAUCAGAUGGCAUAGGCAGGCCUCAUCCAUAAGUAUUUCUCAGAGGGCCACACAUAUGAGUUGAUCCUUGAUUUUCUUGGAAAAGAGCACAACAUUCUUCUGAGUCUGAGCACCUUAAAGAGGAGGCUAAAGAAAGGAGGUCUAACUAGGAGGACAGGCUAUACUCCCAUUGCUACUGUGAAUGCAACGGUUGCACAUGAACUGAGAGGAUCAGGUCAGCUGUUAGGUUACAGAGCUAUGUGGCAGACAUUGCAACAAAAGUAUCCCCUGAAAGUUAAAAGAGAUUAUGUAAGGCAUAUAGUUGCCAAACUGGAUCCAUCUGGAGUUCAUUUUUGCUCUAGACCAAGGUUUGUCCAAAGAGGAUACUUCACAGUGGGACCAAACCAAGUGUUACAUGCUGAUGGAAAGAGCUUGAUAAGUACAGACAACUUUGGAGCAACCACACCAUCCGACCUGUUCAUCAAUGUCGUUCAUCAGAUGCCCUUCAUGACUGUACCAAAGUUCCCAGAGCCCAG